GACGAACGCUGGCGGCGUGCUUAACACAUGCAAGUCGAACGGAAAGGCCCUGCUUUUGUGGGGUGCUCGAGUGGCGAACGGGUGAGUAACACGUGAGUAACCUGCCCUUGACUUUGGGAUAACUUCAGGAAACUGGGGCUAAUACCGGAUAGGAGCUCCUGCUGCAUGGUGGGGGUUGGAAAGUUUCGGCGGUUGGGGAUGGACUCGCGGGUUAUCAGCUUGUUGGUGGGGUAGUGGCUUACCAAGGGUUUGACGGGUAGCCGGCCUGAGAGGGUGACCGGCCACAUUGCGACUGAGAUACGGCGCAGACUCCUACGGGAGGCAGCAGUGGGGAAUAUUGCACAAUGGGCGGAAGCCUGUUACAGCAACGCCGCGUGCGGGAUGACGGCCUUCGGGUUGUAAACCGCUUUCGCCUGUGACGAAGCGUGAGUGACGGUAAUGGGUAAAGAAGCACCGGCUAACUACGUG
rnacentral:rRNA from 1 species